CCGCGUGAGGGAGGAAGGCUCUUGGGUCGUAAACCUCUUUUGUCAGGGAAGAACACAAUGACGGUACCUGANGAAUCAGCCUCGGCUAACUCCGUGCCAGCAGCCGCGGUAAUACGGAGGAGGCAAGCGUUAUCCGGAAUUAUUGGGCGUAAAGCGUCCGCAGGUGGCACCUCAAGUCUGCUGUCAAAGACCGGGGCUUAACCCCNGAAAGGCAGUGGAAACUGAAGUGCUAGAGUGCAGUAGGGGUAGAGGGAAUUCCCGGUGUAGCGGUGAAAUGCGUAGAGAUCGGGAAGAACAUCGGUGGCGAAAGCGCUCUNCUGGACNGCAACUGACACUCAGGGACGAAAGCUAGGGGAGCGAAUGGGAUUAGAUACCCCAGUAGUCCCUAGCCGUAAACGAUGGAUACUAGGUGUGGCUUGUAUCGACCCGAGCCGUGCCGUAG
rnacentral:rRNA from 1 species